UCGUGACUGCGUGCCUUUUGAAGAAUGAGCCUGCGAGUUUGCGGUGUGUUGCGAGGUUAACCCGUGUGGGGGAGCCGUAGCGAAAGCGAGUCCGAAUAGGGCGAUUUAGUAGCGCGCUCAAGACCCGAAGCGGAGUGAUCGAGCCAUGGGCAGGUUGAAGCGGCUGUAAGAGGUCGUGGAGGACCGAACCCACCAGGGUUGAAAACCUGGGGGAUGACCUGUGGUUAGGGGUGAAAGGCCAAUCAAACUCCGUGAUAGCUGGUUCUCCCCGAAAUGCAUUUAGGUGCAGCGUCGUGUGUUUCUUGCCGGAGGUAGAGCACUGGAUAGGCGAUGGGCCCUACCGGGUUACUGACCUUAGCCAAACUCCGAAUGCCGGUAAGUGAGAGCGCGGCAGUGAGACUGUGGGGGAUAAGCUCCAUGGUCGAGAGGGAAACAGCCCAGAGCAUCGACUAAGGCCCCUAAGCGUACGCUAAGUGGGAAAGGAUGUGGAGUCGCAGAGACAACCAGGAGGUUGGCUUAGAAGCAGCCACCCUUGAAAGAGUGCGUAAUAGCUCACUGGUCAAGUGAUUCCGCGCCGACAAUGUAGCGGGGCUCAAGCGUACCGCCGAAGUCGUGUCAUUGCAGUACAUACCCCCAACGGGGACUGUGAUGGGUAGGGGAGCGUCGGGUGCCGGGUGAAGCCGCCGCGUAAGCGAGUGGUGGACGGUUCACGAGUGAGAAUGCAGGCAUGAGUAGCGAUACACACGUGAGAAACGUGUGCGCCGAUUGACUAAGGGUUCCUGGGUCAAGCUGAUCUGCCCAGGGUAAGUCGGGACCUAAGGCGAGGCCGACAGGCGUAGUCGAUGGACAACCGGUUGAUAUUCCGGUACCCGCUUUGAAACGCCCAAUAUCGAAUCAGGCGAUGCUAAGUCCGUGAAGCCGCCCUUGAUCUCUUCGGAGUGAGGGGGAGUGGUGGAGCCGACGGACCAGACUUGUAGUAGGUAAGCGAUGGGGUGACGCAGGAAGGUAGUCCAGCCCGGGCGGUGGUUGUCCCGGGGUAAGGGUGUAGGACGUACGGUAGGCAAAUCCGCCGUGCACAUAGUCUGAGACCUGAUGCCGAGCCGAUUGUGGUGAAGUGGAUGAUCCUAUGCUGUCGAGAAAAGCCUCUAGCGAGUUUCAUGGCGGCCCGUACCCUAAACCGACUCAGGUGGUCAGGUAGAGAAUACCGAGGCGUUCGGGUGAACUAUGGUUAAGGAACUCGGCAAAAUGCCCCCGUAACUUCGGGAGAAGGGGGGCCAUUUCUGGUGAUAGCACG
rnacentral:rRNA from 1 species